UUCAACCGUUUAUCGGGAAACAAACAUUCGUUUUGAUUUUCAUUCAGAACAUCAUUUUCCAAAAUUCACCUCCUUCCCGUCCACCUCUCAGGAUUGGGAAGUUUAAAUACAUAUGUUUACCUACUAUUUCUUAAGGAGAAAAAUGCCCUGGAUUCCAUAACUUUCGCAUAGUUCAUGACCACUCAUUGACUGGGCUAUGUAGCGGUUUCUCGGAAUAAUGCGGCGUUUCAGUUCAGUUUUACACUUAGAUUAGGAUGCCGUGAGGACACUUGCUUUCUUGUACGUCAUUCGGAAAUUGCAGUGACGUUGAAUGUGGUAUUGUGUAAUUUAUAAUUGGAACGUUGUUUUCAUCUGAGCAAUGCUUCUCUUAUCAGAUGAAUUGUUGAACUGAUAACCUGGCGUCGCUACUGUUUGAUAAUAAUUGUGUGGAACGGUGAUGCCAAUUUUACCCACAGCAAACGCUACAAAUCACUCACUAACAUACUUUCGUACUGGCCUACAUGUUCUAUGGCGAACUCACCUAAGCAUUAUAAAAAAGAGAAUCAGAACGAGGAUAGAGAAAUGAAAGUAGACAUCUAUCUAUAGAAAGUUUCGUAUAGAUGAAAUGUCCCUUUGAGCGGUUAACCGGCCAAAGAAAAGUAUUUUUUUGGCCGUUAGGCCCAUGCAUUUUUUUACAUGAUUACGCUGUAAAUGUCUAAUUACGCAUUAAAUAGUUACAAGAA